rnacentral:misc_RNA from 1 species
CCAAACUUGGUCAUUUAGAGGAAGUAAAAGUCGUAACAAGGUUUCCGUAGGUGAACCUGCGGAAGGAUCAUCACUGAUUCGGGGGCGCCGGUGUGGGGAAAAACCACGCCUGCGUCCCCAACCAAUCUUGUGUGAACCGUAACGAGCACACUACGUGUGAAAAAGGGUUGGCGGCAUAAGGGGAGACCCACCGCCACCAUCACACGAGCAUUAACUCCUUACAAUCUUGUCUAACAUUACACUCAAUUACACACACACACACACAACUUUUAACAAUGGAUCUCUUGGCUCUCGCAUCGAUGAAGAACGCAGC